rnacentral:rRNA from 1 species
CGGACGGGUGAGUAAUGUCUGGGAAACUGCCCGAUGGAGGGGGAUAACUACUGGAAACGGUAGCUAUACCGCAUAAUGUCUGCGGACCAAAGCGGGGGACCUCCGGGCCUCGCGCCAUCAGAUGUGCCCAGAUGGGAUUAGCUAGUAGGUGGGGUAACGGCUCACCUAGGCGACGAUCCCUAGCUGGUCUGAGAGGAUGACCAGCCACACUGGAACUGAGACACGGUCCAG